rnacentral:rRNA from 1 species
UACGUAGGGUGCGAGCGUUAAUCGGAAUUACUGGGCGUAAAGGGCGCGUAGGUGGUCUGAUAAGGGUGUGGUGAAAGCCCGGGGCUCAACCCCGGGUCGGCCGUGCCGACUGUUGGACUAGAGUGCUGUAGGGGCAGGCGGAAUUCCGGGUGUAGCGGUGGAAUGCGUAGAGAUCCGGAGGAAGACCGGUGGCGAAGGCGGCCUGCUGGGCAGUUACUGACACUGAGGCGCGACAGCGUGGGGAGCAAACAGG